UACGUAGGGAGCAAGCGUUGUUCGGAUUUACUGGGCGUAAAGGGCGCGUAGGCGGCAAAUUAAGUCAGAUGUGAAAUUCCUGGGCUCAACCUGGGGGCUGCAUUUGAUACGUUCGGACUAGAGUGGGGAAGAGGGUCGUGGAAUUCCCAGUGUAGAGGUGAAAUUCGUAGAUAUUGGGAAGAACACCGGUGGCGAAGGCGGCGACCUGGUCCUUGACUGACGCUGAGGCGCGAAAGCGUGGGGAGCAAACAGG
rnacentral:rRNA from 1 species